UACGGAGGGUGCAAGCGUUAUCCGGAUUUACUGGGUUUAAAGGGUGCGUAGGCGGGUAGGUAAGUCAGUGGUGAAAUCUUCGAGCUUAACUCGGAAACUGCCAUUGAUACUAUUUAUCUUGAAUACUUUGGAGGUAAGCGGAAUAUGUCAUGUAGCGGUGAAAUGCUUAGAUAUGACAUAGAACACCAAUUGCGAAGGCAGCUUACUACACAGUCAUUGACACUGAGGCACGAAAGCGUGGGGAUCAAACAGG
rnacentral:rRNA from 1 species